rnacentral:rRNA from 1 species
GAUUAGAUACCCUAUUAUUUUAAUUGUUAAAUGUUACCUGGGUAAUAAUAGUUAUUUUCUUUAAACCUAAAGAAUUUGGCGGUAGUUUAGUCUAUUCAGAGGAAUUUGUCCCUUAAUCGAUAGUCCUCGUUUUAUCUUUCUUUAUUUUGUAAUUUCAAUAUGUAUACCGCCGUUAUAAGUUUAUUUUAUUAGAAUAUUAAUUUACUUUAUAUAUUAUUUUAUUUUAUUUCAGGUCAAGGUGCAGUUUAUAAUAAAGGGGAGGUGAAUUACAUUAUUAUUUGAAUAAACGGAUUUAAAUUUUAAAAUUUUAUUAAAGGUGGAUUUGAAGGUAAUCUUAUUAAUAUUGUUAGGUUGAUUUUAGCUCUAAACUAUGUACACAUCG